rnacentral:lncRNA from 1 species
GGGUCUCGCUCUGCUGCCCAGGCUGUAGUGCAGUGGUGUGAUCUCAGCUCACUCCUAAAAAUACAAAAAUUAGCCGGGCGUGGUGGUGGGUGCCUAUAAUCCCAGCUGCUCCGGAGGCUGAGGCAGGAAAAUUGCUUAGACCUGGGAGGUGGAGGUUGUAGUGAGCCCUGUCUCUCCUAAAAAUACAAAAAUUAGCCAGGUGUGGUGGUGGGUGCCUAUAAUCCCAGCUGCUUGGGAGGCUGAGGCAGGAAAAUUGCUUAGACCUGGGAGGUGGAUGUUGCAGUGAGCGAGAUCACGCCACUGCACUUCACUCUAUCCAGGGUGAUAGAGUGAAAUUUCAUUUCAAAAGAAAAGAAAUAAAUAAGUAAGCAAGGUGAGAUGUUGCACAAUCAGCCUAAGGGAUUGGGGAGUUGUUGUGGAUAGUCAGCUUGCGAUAUCAAAUAAUUGAAGAAAAAGAUGAGCAUGGCCUCGUGCAAAGCUUUGAGACAGAGCCUGCA